UACGUAGGGUGCAAGCGUUGUCCGGAAUUAUUGGGCGUAAAGAGCUCGUAGGCGGUUCGUCACGUCGGCUGUGAAAUCCCGAGGCUCAACCUCGGGUCUGCAGUCGAUACGGGCGGACUGGAGUACUGCAGGGGAGACUGGAAUUCCUGGUGUAGCGGUGAAAUGCGCAGAUAUCAGGAGGAACACCGGUGGCGAAGGCGGGUCUCUGGGCAGUAACUGACGCUGGAGGAGCGAAAGCGUGGGGAGCAAACAGG
rnacentral:rRNA from 1 species